rnacentral:rRNA from 1 species
AGGACGAACGCUGGCGGCGUGCUUAACACAUGCAAGUCGAGCGGAAAGGCCCUUCGGGGUACUCGAGCGGCGAACGGGUGAGUAACACGUGAGUAACCUGCCCCUAGCUCUGGGAUAGCUCCGGGAAACCGGGAUUAAUACCAGAUACGACCACUUUAGACAUCUGUCGUGGUGGAAAGAAUUUCGGCUAGGGAUGAGCUCGCGGCCUAUCAGCUUGUUGGUGGGGUAAAAGGCCCCACCAAAGGCGACGACGGGUA